ACGGAGGGUGCGAGCGUUGUCCGGAAUCAUUGGGCGUAAAGGGCGCGUAGGUGGCCUGGUCAGUUCGUGGUGAAAGCGCGGGGCUCAACCCCGCGUCGGCCAUGAAUACUGCGAGGCUGGAGCACUGUAGAGGCAGGCGGAAUUCCGGGUGUAGCGGUGGAAUGCGUAGAGAUCCGGAAGAACACCGGUGGCGAAGGCGGCCUGCUGGGCAGUUGCUGACACUGAGGCGCGACAGCGUGGGGAGCAAACAGGAUUAGAUACCCUGGUAGUCCACGCCGUAAACGAUGGGCACUAGGCGCUUGGGGGAGCGACCCCCCGAGGGCCGUAGCUAACGCAUUAAGUGCCCCGCCUGGGGAGUACGGCCGCAAGGCUG
rnacentral:rRNA from 1 species